rnacentral:piRNA from 1 species
UAUAUCUUUGUCUCGAUAGUGGUGCGA